rnacentral:rRNA from 1 species
GAUGAACGCUGGCGGCGUGCUUAACACAUGCAAGUCGAACGGAAAGGCCCAAGCUUGCUUGGGUACUCGAGUGGCGAACGGGUGAGUAACACGUGGGUGAUCUGCCCUGCACUUCGGGAUAAGCCUGGGAAACUGGGUCUAAUACCGGAUAGGACCACAUUUUGGAUGGUGUGGUGGAAAGUUUUUCGGUGUGGGAUGAGCUCGCGGCCUAUCAGCUUGUUGGUGGGGUAAUGGCCUACCAAGGCGUCGACGGGUAGCCGGCCUGAGAGGGUGUACGGCCACAUUGGGACUGAGAUACGGCCCAGACUCCUACGGGAGGCAGCAGUGGGGAAUAUUGCACAAUGGGCGCAAGCCUGAUGCAGCGACGCCGCGUGGGGGAUGACGGCCUUCGGGUUGUAAACUCCUUUCGCUAGGGACGAAGCGUUUUUGUGACGGUACCUGGAGAAGAAGCACCGGCUAACUACAUG